GUCCCCUCUUCAACUGUUGGAAGACUACCCUCUUUGACAAAGGCUGGAUUAAGAAACUUGGAAAUAAAAACCCAUAAUUUGUAAACGUCCUCAAAGUUGGUAAGAAACCCCAGAGAUGCAGUGACCACCUCAAUCCUCAUAAACCCACCUUUUCCAUUAUGUUGCCCAUUUUCCAUUGGCCUACAUAGAGUCGUAUCUUCAAGGCUCAAAGCACCAUGCUGCGGUUUUGUACUAUCCAAUAUCCGUAUGUGACUAAGAAAACCAAUGCCAAGAGAGAU
rnacentral:misc_RNA from 1 species